rnacentral:rRNA from 1 species
AGUCGAACGGAACUGUUUUGAAAGAUUUCUUCGGAAUGAAUUUGAUUUAGUUUAGUGGCGGACGGGUGAGUAACGCGUGAGUAACCUGCCUUCAAGAGGGGGAUAACAUUCUGAAAAGAAUGCUAAUACCGCAUGACAUAUUGGAAUCACAUGAUUUUGAUAUCAAAGAUUUUAUCGCUUGAAGAUGGACUCGCGUCCGAUUAGUUAGUUGGUGAGGUAACGGCUCACCAAGACCGCGAUCGGUAGCCGGACUGAGAGGUUGAACGGCCACAUUGGGACUGAGACACGGCCCAGACUCCUACGGGAGGCAGCAGUGGGGGAUAUUGCGCAAUGGGGGCAACCCUGACGCAGCAACGCCGCGUGAAGGAUGAAGGUUUUCGGAUUGUAAACUUCUUUUAUUAAGGACGAAACUUGACGGUACUUAAUGAAUAAGCUCCGGCUAACUACGUGCCAGCAGCCGCGGUAAUACGUAGGGAGCAAGCGUUGUCCGGAUUUACUGGGUGUAAAGGGUGCGUAGGCGGCUUUGCAAGUCAGAUGUGAAAUCUAUGGGCUCAACCCAUAAACUGCAUUUGAAACUGUAGAGCUUGAGUGAAGUAGAGGCAGGCGGAAUUCCCCGUGUAGCGGUGAAAUGCGUAGAGAUGGGGAGGAACACCAGUGGCGAAGGCGGCCUGCUGGGCUUUAACUGACGCUGAGGCACGAAAGCGUGGGUAGCAAACAGGAUUAGAUACCCUGGUAGUCCACGCUGUAAACGAUGAUUACUAGGUGUGGGGGG